rnacentral:rRNA from 1 species
CGUAGGGGGCAAGCGUUAUCCGGAAUCACUGGGUGUAAAGGGAGCGUAGACGGUUGUGCAAGUCUGGAGUGAAAGGCGGGGGCCCAACCCCCGGACUGCUCUGGAAACUGUGUAACUGGAGUGCAGGAGAGGCAGGCGGAAUUCCUGGUGUAGCGGUGAAAUGCGUAGAUAUCAGGAGGAACACCGGUGGCGAAGGCGGCCUGCUGGACUGUAACUGACGUUGAGGCUCGAAAGCGUGGGGAGCAA